GAAUCAUAAAACCAUAAAUAUAAGCUUCUAACUUAACUUUAAGCAGUGAAACUCUGUUUCUGAUUCU
rnacentral:tRNA from 1 species